rnacentral:lncRNA from 1 species
GAAAAUCCGAAUUAUUACAGAAGAGUUUUCACCAUGCACUUGCACUGCACUAUUAUUAGAAUAGUAGAAUAGAAUGCUAUAGCAUUUGGAUCAAAAUUAUGUAUACAUGUAACUGUUAUAUACAAAUAUUAAUUUAAUAUAUAACAACAAACCAGAGUAUACUGAUUUGUAUCACUACAAUAUAAUUGUGAUUACGGUGAGGUUGAAUUCCCUGUCAUUUAUUCAUCAUCCAAGCACGAACUUGUCUCAGAAAAAAAUAUAUCUCUGUAAGUUAACCUCACUUUCAGGUAUUGAGAUGUGAUUUUCUUUUAGACAAGUGCGUGUGACCAUCCACGAGAACUUGCGGUCAUCCGAUGUUCAGUACUUCAGUCCUUUGAUACUGUUUGUUCUAGUAAAUAUUACAUCAGCCAAUGAAAUUCAGCCUUCACAUUUUUGAAGGUGUAUAUAAAUCCGACAAAACCGAGAAUCCCAAUGGUCUUUAAACAGAAAAUAGAAUGGAGCGUUUUCAGAUCCGCGUAAGCAUAGCUUGGACACACAAUAUCUGUAAUUUAAUUAGAUUUGUGUCUGAAUGAACAUAAAAACACUGUAUUUAUUUUUUGUUUACUGAGGCCUGGUGGUCUCUGACAGAUAGAGAGUUGUGUUUUCAAUUUUUCUAAGUGAAGAUUUACGGCGGUGACUUUUAAUAUUUUGCGUUUAUCUUUAAAACUACAAUAGAUUAAAAAAAUAAUAGUGCAAUGUGUCUGAAUAUAUUCUAUGGUAAAUUUUAAGGUCCCAUUUUGGGCAAUUUUGGCUCUUAUGAGUUUUGUUGUUUUAUUGCCUAUUAUCUUGAUACUUAUUUAUAGAGAAACCUUUUCUUAGCAAAAUAGUUUUCUCGUUUGAAUUGUUUUACAUUGUCAUCAUGGGGCCUUUUAUACUGACUAUGCGGUAUGGGCUUUGCUCAUUGUUGAAGGCCUUACGGUUACCUAUAGUUGUUAAUUUCUGUGUCAUUUUGGUCUCUUGUGGAGAGUUGUCUCAUUGGCAAUCAUACCACAUCUUCUUUUUUUUUAUAUUAUAAGAACAGAUUUAAAAAUAAGUAAAUUAUAAUUAUUGUCAUUUUCAUCAUUGGUGGUGGGGACGGGGUAGGAAAGAUGGGAAUUCCUCUAAUUUUUUUCCAAGUCAUUACCGUGAAAUAGGGAAAAAAACACAAUCAUUCCAAAGACAUAAACUUUACACCCCCCCCUAAAAAAAACCACCAGAGAACAAUUACAC